ACAGGUGAGCCUCAUCAGACACUGACAGGCUGACUGAGGACUGAGUGGAUGUUUCACUCUGAAUGUUUUCAUGCUGUUGGUUGGUGUUGAAGCUGCUGACGGCGUCUUUACGUUAACGUGAGUAGACUGUCUUUGUGUCUCCGUCCUCCGUGUUUAUCUGCAGGAACUAAAGAGUCCAGAGUGGAUCCUGGAAGGAAACCCGUCCACCCGCCCGCCCGCCCGCCCGCCGCCACCAGGAGCCUCGCCGCUGUACGAUGGCGACAGAUUUGUGAUUAAACGGCCACUUUGUCAUGCGAGAGGGACAUAAUGCAUCAACACAGCAGCAGCAGCAGCAGCAGCAGCAGCAGCGGUCGGCCUUGACUCCGCCGGCCUCUCUGUGAACAGCAGCUGGUCUGACGUGAACGACUUCCAACUGCAAACAAAAAGGCUGAUUCAAAGCUCUCCGUUGGUGACAGAGGCAGCAGACCUUGACUGUGUUGUGAUCAGUGUGCUCCUCCUGGUGUCUGCACACAGAUGAAUAGAGUAAAAAAUGCUCAGCAGAGUGGCAGAAAAGAAAAACCCUCACCGGCAGAACGGCUCACUUCGCUUCAAUUCAAACCUUCAGUCAUGUUUUCCUGCUGGUCCUGAAAAAACAGCA